CAGCAGCCACGGUAAUACGGAGGGUGCAAGCGUUAAUCGGAAUUACUGGGCGUAAAGCGCACGCAGGCGGUCUGUCAAGUCAGAUGUGAAAUCCCCGGGCUUAACCUGGGAACUGCAUUUGAAACUGGCAGGCUAGAGUCUUGUAGAGGGGGGUAGAAUUCCAGGUGUAGCGGUGAAAUGCGUAGAGAUCUGGAGGAAUACCGGUGGCGAAGGCAGCCAUCUGGCCUAAUACUGACGCUGAGGUACGAAAGCAUGGGGAGCAAACAGGAUUAGAUACCCGCGUAGUCCCUGUCUCUUAUAC
rnacentral:rRNA from 1 species